rnacentral:rRNA from 1 species
GUCCCGCAACGAGCGCAACCCUCGACCUUAGUUGCCAGCAUUCAGUUGGGCACUCUAAGGUGACUGCCGGCUAAAAAGUCGGAGGAAGGUGGGGAUGACGUCAAAUCAUCAUGCCCCUUAUGACCUGGGCUACACACGUGCUACAAUGGGCGGUACAAAGGGUCGCGAACCCGCAGGGGGAGCCAAUCCCAAAAAGCCGCUCUCAGUUCGGAUUGCAGGCUGCAACUCGCCUGCAUGAAGCCGGAAUCGCUAGUAAUCGCGGAUCAGCAUGCCGCGGUGAAUACGUUCCCGGGCCUU